CAAAUACCCAAAAAUAAACGUCCCAGUUCGGACUGUAGUCUGCAACCCGACUACACGAAGCUGGAAUCGCUAGUAAUCGCGGAUCAGAAUGCCGCGGUGAAUACGUUCCCGGGUCUUGUACACACCGCCCGUCACACCAUGGGAGUCAGUAACGCCCGAAGUCAGUGACCUAACCGAAAGGGAGGAGCUGCCGAAGGCGGGACGGAUGACUGGGGUGAAGUCGUAACAAGGUACC
rnacentral:rRNA from 1 species